rnacentral:rRNA from 1 species
AGAGUUUGAUCAUGGCUCAGAUUGAACGCUGGCGGCAGGCCUAACACAUGCAAGUCGAGCGGCAGCGGGAAAGUAGCUUGCUACUUUUGCCGGCGAGCGGCGGACGGGUGAGUAAUGCCUGGGAAAUUGCCCAGUCGAGGGGGAUAACAGUUGGAAACGACUGCUAAUACCGCAUACGCCCUACGGGGGAAAGCAGGGGACCUUCGGGCCUUGCGCGAUUGGAUAUGCCCAGGUGGGAUUAGCUUGUUGGUGAGGUAAUGGCUCACCAAGGCGACGAUCCCUAGCUGGUCUGAGAGGAUGAUCAGCCACACUGGAACUGAGACACGGUCCAGACUCCUACGGGACGCAGCAG